GACGAACCGAGCGAACGUUGUUCGGAAUAACUGGGCUUAAAGGGCGCGUAGGCGGGCCGCCAAGUUCGAGGUGAAAUCCUCCGGCUCAACCGGAGAACUGCCUCGAAUACUGGAGGCCUCGAGGCGGGUAGGGGGAUGCGGAACUGUGGGUGGAGCGGUGAAAUGCGUUGAUAUCCACAGGAACUCCGGUGGCGAAGGCGGCAUGCUGGACCCGAUCUGACGCUGAGGCGCGAAAGCCAGGGGAGCAAACGGG
rnacentral:rRNA from 1 species